rnacentral:lncRNA from 1 species
UAGGAGACUUGAUAUUUAAGCAGCUUGAAUGGUUUCUUUUCUUUUCUUUAUUUUUAAAGAAAUGCACUUGCCUAUGAUACUGUCUCUCCAGUGAAAUGAUUACUCCUCCAUUACUCUAUUGAUACAAUAUUGUGCAUGCUAGUGUUGUAUUUCUAUACAGUAGCUUGAAAUUUAUUAACUUAUACUGUAGGUGUUAUGUAUUCCUAUGACAAAAAAAAAUUAAGUCUUCCCAGUGUUAGCUUAAUCUUAAUGUCUGGUGUUUGUCAUGGUGAAAUUAUAACUAUUACAGUGUAGGAGAACACUGAAUAUGUUCUCUGAAUGAGCCUUUGUG